rnacentral:rRNA from 1 species
AGAGUUUGAUCCUGGCUCAGGAUGAACGCUGGCGGCGUGCCUAAUACAUGCAAGUCGAACGAGUUUUGGUCGAUGAACGGUGUUUGCACUGUGAUUCAACUUAAAACGAGUGGCGGACGGGUGAGUAACACGUGGGUAACCUGCCCUUAAGUGGGGGAUAACAUUUGGAAACAGAUGCUAAUACCGCAUAAAUCCAAGAACCGCAUGGUUCUUGGCUGAAAGAUGGCGUAAGCUAUCGCUUUUGGAUGGACCCGCGGCGUAUUAGCUAGUUGGUGAGGUAACGGCUCACCAAGGCGAUGAUACGUAGCCGAACUGAGAGGUUGAUCGGCCACAUUGGGACUGAGACACGGCCCAAACUCCUACGGGAGGCAGCAGUAGGGAAUCUUCCACAAUGGACGCAAGUCUGAUGGAGCAACGCCGCGUGAGUGAAGAAGGCUUUCGGGUCGUAAAACUCUGUUGUUGGAGAAGAAUGGUCGGCAGAGUAACUGUUGUCGGCGUGACGGUAUCCAACCAGAAAGCCACGGCUAACUACGUGCCAGCAGCCGCGGUAAUGCGUAGGUGGCAAGCGUUAUCCGGAUUUAUUGGGCGUAAAGCGAGCGCAGGCGGUUUUUUAAGUCUGAUGUGAAAGCCCUCGGCUUAACCGAGGAAGCGCAUCGGAAACUGGGAAACUUGAGUGCAGAAGAGGACAGUGGAACUCCAUGUGUAGCGGUG